AGGUGGGUGGCUCAGUGGUAGAGCAUAAAACUUGCAGUCAUGAGGGUUGUGGAUUUGAUUCCCACCCCAGCAU
rnacentral:tRNA from 1 species